rnacentral:lncRNA from 1 species
CUUCUUUGAACAUGUCUGGUAGAAUUCAGCUGUGAUCCAUCCAGUCCUGGGCUUCUUUUGACUAUGGAAAUGAUGUUAGACAAAAAGCAAAUUCAACUUCAAAGUGGGUCUUAAAACAGCCAAGACAACUUGCAACAUCAACAACGCAUUUGUUCCACUGAGAAUGAACGUACAGUGCAGUGGUGGUUCAAGAAGUUUUGCAAGGGAGACAAGAGCCUUGAAGACAAGCAGCAUAGUGGCUGGCCAUGAGAAGUUGACGAUGACCAACUGAGAACAAUCAUCAAAGCUGAUCCCCUUAAAACUACACAAGAAGUUGCCAAAGAACUCAUCAUUGGCCAUUUGAAGCAAAUUGGAAAGGUGAAAAAUCACAAUAAGUGGGUGCCUAAUGAGCUGAGUGAAAAUUUUAAAAAAUCAUCAUUUUGAGUGUCAUCUUCUCUUAUUCUAUCCAACAACAAUGACCCAUUUCUCCGUUGGAUGAUGACAUGCGAUGAAAAAUGGAUUUUAUAUGACAAGCGGCAAUGACCAGCUCAGUGGCUGGAUCAAGAAGAAGUUUCAAAGCACUUCCCAAAGCCAAACUUGCACCAAGAAAAGGUCAUGAUCACUGUUUGGGGGUCUUCUGCCAGUCUGAUCCACUACAGCUUUCUGUAGUGGAUCAGGAGGCUGAAGGAGGAGAAUCACUUGAACCCAGGAGGUGGAGGUUGCAGUGAGCUGAGAUCGCACCAUUGGACUCCAUCCUUGGCAAAAAGAGCGAAACACCAUUAAAAAAAAAAUAGGAUGUAUUAUUCUUAUUAUUCUCCUAGUACCUUCUCUCCUUUGCUCAUCUUAAUUUCCUACUCCCUAUGCCAAACAAUGUUACCAACGGCAACAUAUUAGGUGAGUGCAAAAGUAAUAACUGUUUUUGCAUUCGUGGAAUCGUCAUUUGAUAUUGAAAUACAUUUUUGUAUUUCAUUGCCAGUUGUCAUCUAAAAUCCAUUUUUCAUCGCACAUCAUCAUCCAAUGGAGAAAUGGGUCGUUGUUGUUGGAUAGAAUAAGAGAAGAUGACACUCAAAAUGAUGGUUUCCCGGUGAAACCAUUACAUCUGAGAAGUAUGCUCAGAAAAUCGAUGAGAUGCAUCAAAAAUUGCAAUGCCUGCAGCCAGCGUUGGUCAACAAAAAGGGCCUAAUUCUCCACAUCAAUGCCCGACCACAUGUCGUAUAACCAAUGUUUCAAAAGUUGAAUGAAUUGGGCUAUGAAGUUUUGCCUCAUCCACCACAUUCACCUGACCUCUUGCCAAUCAACUACCACUUCUUCAAGCAUCUUGACAACUUUUUGCAGGGAAAGCACUUCCAUGACUAGCAGGAUCCAGAAAAUGCUUUCCAGGAGUUCAUCGAAUCCCAAAGCAUAAACUUUUAUACUACAGGAAUAAACAAACUUAUUUCUCGUUGGCAAACAUGUGUUGAUUGCAGUGGUUCCUAUUUUGAUUAACAAAGAUAUGUUUGAGCCUAGUUAUAAUGAUUUAAAAUUCAUAGUCCAAAACUGCAAUUACUUCUGUGCCAACAUAAUAAUAGCCAAAGCCAGAUUUAAGCCUCUUUCCUGAAACCCAGCCAAGAACUAGCCUCAUCACUUUGUAUUUUCUAGCUAGUGUCUCGAGGCUUCACAUUCAGAUGAUCCAGUGUGUGAAGUGGCAGGGUGCCAUUUUAAGCGAGAAUCUUCUUAUUCUGCCAGUGCCAUAAAAUUGCCUAUGAGAAACUGGGAAUGGAUACCCAACCUCAUCAACUAUGCAUUAAAGGAAUAAAGACAAUGAUGCAAGUUUAGAUGCCACCUCCACAAGUAAGGACGCAUCAUUCCUGAGUCCUAUGAUAUCUACAACAAGUAAAUUUUUUGUUGUUGUUAAGAGUGGUCGUCUCUUAAAAGUGACUGGUGCUUAGGGAAUUAGAAUUCACCUGUGAUAGAGGAUCUUAAAGAUGUGUGGAUGCCUAGAGCUAAGAGCACACAUAGGAGAAAGGCAGGAAACUGUAAUACAAAAGGGUGAUAGAUUUCGGAGUGGCAUUUAAGACUGAUCAACAAGAUUGAAUUGUAUAAUAAAGGCAAUGGGAAACCACUGAAGAGUUUUAUGGAGAGAAAUGAUAUGCUCAAUUUUGCUUUUAAAAAAAUCGCUCUCAGAACAACAUGGGUAGUGGGUGGGAAGAGAGUAAGAGUGAAUUUAAAAAACAAAGAAAAUUUAAUGAGUGUUUGCAAUAGUCCAGAUGAUAAAUGAUGACAGUGGACUAGAUUAAGGUUCUAACAGUGGAGAUAAUAAGGAUAUUUAUGGCAUAUUUGAGAUACAAUCCAGAACAUUUGGAAUUGAUUGAAUAUGGAUGUAGGGAAGAAAGUAAUGACCAAGAUUAACCCAAAAUUUCAAAUUUGCAUAACUUGGUGGAAAGUGACAUUAUGUUCUGAUGGUUCAAAAGGUAAGGAAUUUAAUUUUAGACAUUUGACCUUUAAAGGAAAAUGCUACUACCAAGUAGACUUAUUAACCUGGAACUCAGCAGAGAUUGAAUUGUAUCUAGAUAUGUAAAAGAUGUUAACAUAGAAAGCUCAAAAUAGUGAUUGUAUCUUUAAGAAUAGUACGUAUAGGCCUGGCACGGUGGCUCAUGCCUGUAAUCCCAGCACUUUGGGAGGCUGAGGUGGGUGGAUCACAAGGUCAGAAGAUCAAGAGCAUCCUGGCUAUCACGGUGAAUCCCGUCUCUACUAAAAAUACAAAAAAUUAGGCAGGCAUAGUUGCAGGAGCCUGUAGUCCCAGCUACUCAGGAGGCUGAGGCAGGAGAAUGGUGUGAACCUGGGAGGCGGAGCUUGCAGUGAGCCGAGAUCAACGUGCCACCGCACUCCAGCCUGGGCAACGGAGCGAGACUCUGUCUCAAAAAAAAAAAAAAAAAAAAAGAUUAGGGUGUAUAGAGUAAAACAGAGGAAAACAACAUAAGAAUAGAAUUCCAUGCAGCAGCAACAUUCCUAUGGCAGGUUGAUCUAGGACCGCUCCCUAUCCUGACAUUAGGUACAGCUAAAUAAGUAGGAGCACACAGAGUCGAAGAAGGACAGCCAGGCAGGCAAAAGUAAGAGAAAAGUGUGUGGAGUCACGGAAUCAAAAGGAGAGGCAUGCAUCCUGGCAAAGAAAGCAGUGAAUAAUGAGAGCUCAUUCAGAAAAAAGCACAAGUGUCCUUUUGAUUAUGGAUGGAGUGGCAUUUGGUGACUUCAGUGAGAACAAUUCCAACAGAAUGGUGGUACUAAAAUCUAAAUUGCAUUGGGUUGAAGAAUAAGUAUGAAAUAAGGACAUAGAGAUGCCAGUUUAGGUGAUGCAUUUGAGAAUAUUAAUAUUUAAGGUAAGGAGAGGAAGGGUAAUAGCUAUAGGAAGAUGGAUGGUUGUGUUUCAAAUGAGUGAGACUUGAGUGGGUUCAAAUUUUGGUAGAAUGUGUCUAUAAAGGGAAAAAUGUUGAACAUAUUGAGGAGAGGAUGCCAAAUCAACACAAUAAGGAUCCCUGAGAAGGCAGGAGAAGUUGCCCUUAUGAAAAAGGAGAUAAACCUUGUUAUUUUAACAGUAGGAAAGGAGGAAAGGCUGGGAAAGCAGAUUUGUAAUUUUAGUGACAGAUACUUGAAGAAUUUUUAUCAUCUUCAAGAGCUUCUAAUUUUCUUUAAUGUAGAAAAAUAGCAUCUGCUAAGUGUGAUGAAAUAAGAUGACAAAGAUUUAAAAUUUGUGAAGAAUCAAAAGAGUCUGAAAUCAUUGUUAUGAAGAAAGAAUGGAGCAUGGAAACCUAAACGUGUCAGGCAGAGUCGAAUUUUCUGAUUCUAGUCUUUAAGCAUUUUCCACUGUGUCCCCCACCCCGGAGGCCUCUUGCAGAGCCAUAAUGAAAACCAUGCCAUCCAAACUAAGAGAGAACAGCCCUUUUAUUUGUAAAGCAAAAUAUUCUAGUCCUUAUAUUUGAUCACUCUCCAGCCUUAAGCUUCUUCACUUAUUCUCUUACUCUCCUUUCAAAUAAGUCCGUGGCUCUGUUUUCUGUUGUGUUAAUCAUACCAUGAACACAUUCAUGUAAGCGAGUGAAUUAUACUCUGGCAAAAUGACCUGGAAUCAACAUAUGCCAUCAUUGUAAACAUCCUGGAUUGGCUUUCCAGUGGCUUUGACCCCUCCCCUACUCAUCACCUCAUUCUCAUUUUAUGUCUCCCUGUACCCACAAAAUAAGACAGGCUCAUACCUGAUUGUUUGACAGUGACUUUGAUGGGCUGAGGAGGCACUUGAAUCUGAUGUCAACUAUUUUAGCAGUUGAAUCUGAUCUCAACUAUUAACCUCAUGACACAUGGAGUCAAGUUGCUGUUUAUUACAGGAUAAGGAAGCAGUUGGUAUUAACAACACAGGUGAUGCCGUAAGGUCACGAACCAUCAGACACUGCUAGUAUUAGGUAGGACUUUGGAAGAUCUGCUAUGGGAAAACUCAAAGGACAUUCCUGAGCUAGGGAGAAGGAAGUUGAACUAAGCUAUGUCACAAGUCUCUUUUUCAAUUCAAGGAUUAUAGCAUCAGAAGGGGUAUUUAAAAUAAAUGCAAAACUGUUGUACUUAAGGGAACUAAAGUAUUCACAAAUGUUAACGUUCUCAGAAGCAACAGGGUGAAGAGGAAAGAGCAUGGUCAGGAAAUGGGGCAAAUCCCAGCUCAUGUGUUUGCCAGCUGAAUAACCCUAAACAGGUCACCUAACAUUUCUGGCACUAUUUUCUAAUCUAUAAAACGAAGAUAAUAUUGUCUUUGAUUGUUGUUCUAAGGCUGCGUUGGGCAACAUAGUAGAUACUAACCACAUAUGGCUAUCACAAUUUAAAUCAGUUAAAAUUAAAUAAUGUUAAAUAUCAGUUCCCUCCUUGGACUAGCCACAUUUGAAGAGCUCAACAGCCACAUGUGAUUGGUAGCUGUCAUAUUGAACAGAACAGAUAUAGAAGAUCUCCAUGAUUACUGAAAGUUCUAUUUGACAGCAAUGUUCUAAGGAUUAAAUAAAAUCUGCAAAAAAAUAAAUAAAUAAAUUCCCACCAUAUAUUAGGUAUUC